rnacentral:rRNA from 1 species
GACGAACGCUGGCGGCGUGCCUAAUACAUGCAAGUCGAGCGAGACUCUUCGGAGUCUAGCGGCGGACGGGUGAGUAACACGUGGGCAACCUGCCUGUAAGACUGGGAUAACACCGGGAAACCGGUGCUAAUACCGGAUAAUCCUUUUCCUCUCAUGAGGGAAAGCUGAAAGUCGGUUUCGGCUGACACUUACAGAUGGGCCCGCGGCGCAUUAGCUAGUUGGUGAGGUAACGGCUCACCAAGGCGACGAUGCGUAGCCGACCUGAGAGGGUGAUAGGCCACACGGGGACUGAGACACGGCCCAGACUCCUACGGGAGGCAGCAGUAGGGAAUCUUCCACAAUGGACGAAAGUCUGAUGGAGCAACGCCGCGUGAGCGAUGAAGGCCUUCGGGUCGUAAAGCUCUGUUGUUAGGGAAGAACAAGUACCGGAGUAACUGCCGGUACCUUGACGGUACCUAACCAGAAAGCCACGGCUAACUACGUGCCAGCCGCCGCCGUAAGAC